UACAGAGGAUGCAAGCGUUAUCCGGAAUGAUUGGGCGUAAAGAGCUCGUAGGUGGUUCGGUAAGUCAGGUGUGAAACCUCCAGGCUCAACCUGGAGACGCCACUGAUACUGCUGUGACUGGAGUCCGGUAGGGGAGCGUGGAAUUCCUGGUGUAGCGGUGAAAUGCGCAGAUAUCAGGAGGAACACCAGCGGCGAAGGCGGCGCUCUGGGCCGGUACUGACACUGAGGGAGCGAAAGCGUGGGUAGCAAACAGG
rnacentral:rRNA from 1 species